ACUGCGCUUGCGCGGCCAAAGGAGCUGGCCGGAGGAAAUUGUAGGCCCUGGGCCGCGGGCAUCUCGGCGGGUAUAAUCUCUGGCCGUCGUGACGGCGGUGACGGACCUGUUUUUCACAUACCAGCGGUUGUUUCCAUAAAUGCCAGCCAUGGGAAAUCUCCCUGUGUACAGAAACCUAAAGGCCGGCUCAGCUGCCUCCACUUGUCUCUUUUGUCACUUGUGGCCACGAGGCCGUGGUAAAACUUGAGAAAAGCAAAAGAAUGAGGGAAAUGCGCUGUAUUGGGGUCUCUGCAGGGGCACGGCUGUCAGCCCAUCAGAAUGGAGACUUCUGCCUGCUUCUCCCCUUGGUGUGCCUUGGUUUCUGGAACAGGCCCAGCAUGCAGUGGGGUCUCAGUGAAUGUGCACUGAAGGAGUAGAUACUGGAGAGCACAAACACGUAUCAGGCAGCACAGGAAAGGUGCUUGCUCAGAGUACCCCUCCCUCUGCCUCCUGACGGACCCUGCUGCUUCCUGUGUGGCCCUGCCUUCCUUCUGGGAACUGUGACUAUCUUCAGUUUUACUCAUCUGAUCUGCAGGCCUUAUUAUACCUCAAACUUUUUAUUAAUACACAAGAAAUAGAGUGGCCUGGAAUGACAAGACACUUUGGACACAAGAUAAACAAAUGAGAACAUAUGAACUAUGCACCAUUUUCCAAUAUUCUGAAGAAGUGUAAUAGUUUGAUACAUGAGUUUUUUUCAGGUGAUGGGAAGCACUGUGGCUGUUGGUGGGAUCUGCUGAAGGCGGGGACUUCACUGUGAUGAUGGAGCUCUCUGCCUCAGGUUUCCUGCAGCCCAGCAUUUUUGUAUGAGGCCAUGGUGUUGUGAAUUUUUUGUUCCAAAGAUUCCUGGAUGUGAUCUGCGUGAAUUCCAUGGACAUCACGAGCUCUUUCCUUCUGUGA
rnacentral:lncRNA from 1 species